AGUGAACGCUGGCGGUAGGCCUAACACAUGCAAGUCGGACGGCAGCACAGUAAGAGCUUGCUCUUACGGGUGGCGAGUGGCGGACGGGUGAGGAAUACAUCGGAAUCUACUUUUUCGUGGGGGAUAACGUAGGGAAACUUACGCUAAUACCGCAUACGACCUACGGGUGAAAGUAGGGGAUCUUCGGACCUUGCGCGAUUGAAUGAGCCGAUGUCGGAUUAGCUAGUUGGCGGGGUAAAGGCCCACCAAGGCGACGAUCCGUAGCUGGUCUGAGAGGAUGAUCAGCCACACUGGAACUGAGACACGGUCCAGACUCCUACGGGAGGCAGCAGUGGGGAAUAUUGGACAGUGGGCGCAAGCCUGAUCCAGCCAUACCGCGUGGGUGAAGAAGGCCUUCGGGUUGUAAAGCCCUUUUGUUGGGAAAGAAAAGCAGCAGGUUAAUACCCCGCUGUUCUGACGGUACCCAAAGAAUAAGCACCGGCUAACUUCGUG
rnacentral:rRNA from 1 species